ACCAGACUCCUACGGGAGGCAGCAGUGGGGAAUAUUGCACAAUGGGGGAAACCCUGAUGCAGCAACGCCGCGUGAGUGAAGAAGGUUUUCGGAUUGUAAAGCUCUGUUAGCAGGGAAGAGGAAGGACGGUACCUGCAGAGGAAGCCACGGCUAACUACGUGCCAGCAGCCGCGGUAAUACGUAGGGGGCAAGCGUUAUCCGGAAUUACUGGGUGUAAAGGGAGCGUAGACGGCUGUGCAAGUCUGGAGUGAAAGGCGGGGGCCCAACCCCCGGACUGCUCUGGAAACUGUAUGGCUGGAGUGCAGGAGAGGUAAGCGGAAUUCCUAGUGUAGCGGUGAAAUGCGUAGAUAUUAGGAGGAACACCAGUGGCGAAGGCGGCUUACUGGACUGUAACUGACGUUGAGGCUCGAAAGCGUGGGGAGCAAACAGGAUUAGAUACCCGGGUA
rnacentral:rRNA from 1 species